CCCAGGGUACAUUGAUUGAUGGGCAAGAAAUAGCAGUGAAAAGACUUUCAAAAAGUUCUCGGCAAGGAUUGACAGAGUUCAAGAAUGAAGUUAUCUUGAUAGCUAAGCUUCAGCACAGAAAUCUUGUUAAACUUCUUGGCUGUUGCAUUCAAGGAGAUGAAGUAAUGUUGAUCUAUGAAUUCAUGCCCAACAAAAGCUUAGAUUGUUUUAUUUUCGGUUUGUACCCCAAGAACUGGUUAGAGUUUCUUGCAGUUAGAUUGCUUGUUCUAUGAUGUUUCAUUUAUACAUCAGAAUAACAUAACAUUAUGAUAAAUUGAUUAGAUCAAACAAGAAACAAAUUCCUGGACUGGCAGAGACGUAACCUCAUUAUCGGUGGCAUUGCUAGAGGACUACUUUAUCUUCAUCAAGACUCUAGACUAAGGAUUAUCCAUAGAGAUCUCAAAGCCAGCAACAUAUUAUUAGAUAAGGAUAUGAACCCCAAAAUUUCAGAUUUCGGAAUGGCUAGACUGUUUGGAGGAGAUCAAAUUGAAGCAGACACAAAUAAAGUGGUCGGAACAUAGUAAGUACACUCUACACCUAUUUUGUUACAAUGUAUAAUCUCCUCACAUUUAAACUUUUUCUGAUAAUGUUUUUCCGCAGUGGAUACAUGUCCCCUGAGUACGUUGUUGAUGGGCGUUUCUCACUGAAAUCCGACGUCUUCAGCUUCGGUGUUUUAGUCUUGGAGAUAAUAAGUGGGAAGAAAAAUAGAGGAUUCUCCCACCCGGAUCACUACCAUAAUCUUCUUGGACAUGUAAGGAUAAAAUUAAACAUGUUAAUUUAAUUAUGUAUUGACAAUUUUUAUCAUAACAAGUUUUUGUUUUCAAGGCAUGGAAACUGUGGACGGAAGAGAGGGCAUUGGAGCUUCUUGACAAUAUGUCAGAUCGCCCGUAUUCUGUAUCUGAAGUAUUGAGAUGCAUUCAUGUGGGUCUGCUAUGCGUGCAACAAAAGCCGGAAGACAGACCAAAUAUGUCAUCUGUGGUUUUGAUGUUGGGCAGUGAGAAUUCAUUGCCUGACCCAAAGCAACCUGGUUUUUUCACGGAAAGGAAUAUGCCCGCAGUGGACUCUUCAUCAGGAAAUCAUGAAUCAUCGUCUAUAAAUGACCUAACUAUUUCAGAGCUAGAUGCACGGUAGAAGAUUGGCUCUGAUGGUUAAAAGGAAGAGCUAUAUAUAUAUAUAUAUAUGUAUGUAUAUUCUAGCCAAAUCCAAGGCAUAUAACAGAAAUUAAAUAUUUUCUGCUAUAAUUAUGUUGAUGUAUUAUUUUUACCUGUCUACAAGUCCUCUGCAAGUACUAGUGCGAAUACAGAUAGACAGAAUGCUUGAGGAUUCACAUCUCUGGACUGCACAAUAUCUGUACUUGUUUGCUUCGAGCCGUCGAAUUUAAUGCACGGAUCUGGGUUCAAGAUCUAUAUAUGCUAGAGCCUCACUGGCUUCUAACCCAAAAAGAAUCCAUUAGAAUUGUCAAUAUAUAAUUAGUAAAAAAAAAUUACAUACAAUUUAAACAAUCCAAAUUUAUAAUUCAAAUUUACAUUAUAUUUUUCAUAACAUGUUAAAAAAAUAUAUUUUUAACAACCAUACAAGGAGCUAUAGUCUUUCCUUGAUUGAUUUCAUAGCACCUUAAACUUAGCCUUGACCUAACCCUUUUAGGGAUAAAUAUUAUAGGUACGAGUACCUUGAUGAUACUUAGCCUUUGUAGGGGAAUCCGACCGGUGAUGUUUUGAUAUUUGCUCAUAGUAGGCUAAGCACACUAACACAAUAUUUAACGUGGUUCGACAAACCGCCUACAUCCACGGGAGAAACCAUUUGAUUAUAUAGGGAGAGAACAAGAUUUACAACAGUAGAGGAGGAGGAAUCAUCCCCUCUUUGGCAACUCUCAACCUCACUCUAUUUUUCUCUUCUCAAUGCUGCAUUGGCAGCUACUGCUGGCUGCCUUGGCAGCCCACUCUCUCUUACAUUUCUCUCAUAUUUGGCUCUACUUUCACUCUCAUUUUGCUCUCUAAAAUCAUGCCUCUUUUAUAGGCAUCAAUGGCAGCUCCUCUUGCUCCUUUGUCAGCAAUGGUGGCUUCCAAACUUACCAAACUUUGACAAUAGACAAUGGUUGUUGGCUGCCACCAACAACCCACCAUUAUAGCCUCAUUCUUUGACUCUCACAUAGCAGUCAUCUUCUUUGACAUAGGCAGCCACAUAAUUGGCAAUAUUCCAACAAUCACCCCCUUUGCCAUUUAUGUGGGGCAACUAUCCUCUUGCUUCUUCAGCACAUGCUUGCAUCUUGCAGCUUUUCCAAGCUUACCAUUCAACCAGAUGGUUUGUCACAUCUCAUCUGAAGAGUGUUUAAUGCUUGUCUCUGGAACAACAUUCCCCUUCAAGCAUAUCAACCAUGCUUGGCCUGGAAUGAUUUAUCAAGCCUUACAUCAAGGCUUACAACACCCCCUCAAACUGAUAUUCCCAAGUGCGAUAGUCAUUGAGUAUUUUAAUGUGAUCACGAGCUCACCACUCUUCCAAGAGCCUACUCAUCCAGGAGUUGCGUCUGCCCUCUAUUCCACCCUAGGAACCACGCCUUACUUCUCCGUGAGUCUCUCACUCUUAGUCUCAAGAGUCCGGGUAGCAUCCACCUUUACUUAUGGGGGCAGCCCAUUAAAGGUUGAUCCAUAUCUAUCUUCAUACUCUGAGUAUUACAAUGCUUUCACCGAGCUCACCACCUUGACAAGAGUCAACUUGUUCCCGGAACCUGCGCAUGCCCUCUGCUCCUUCAUAGCAGUCGCGUCUUAAUGCUCCACAAGUCACCCACUUAUUGUCCAAGGUAAAUGUCUUCUAGCUCAUUGAUCUUUAGCAUGGGGGCAAUAUCCAUGAAAGUCAAUCCUGCAUUUGUCUUCAUACUCAUCAUAGACUCUUCAUUGGCUAUACACUUGUCCACUUAUAUCCAGCCAUCAUAUUGGCUCUAGGGCUGGGCUCUUUUCAUGGCCCUCACACCUUCUCGUGAGGUGUCUCCGCUCGUCGUCAUGCGAUAGUCUGAAUCUGGGCUAAUAUUAUAGCCCUCACACCGUCCAUCCGAGGUGUCUCCGUUCAUCGUCAUGCGGCUUCAUGUCCCUCACACCUUCUCCGAAGGUGUCUUCGCCCGUUGUCAUGGGGCAGUCUGAUCUUGGGCUCAUAUCAUGGCCCUCACACCUUCUGUCUGAGGUGUCUCCGCCUAUCGUUAUGAGACGGCCUGAACAUGGACUCAUAUCAAGGUCCUCACACCUUCUGUCCAAGGUAUCUCCGCCUGUCGUCAUGAGACGGUCUGAACAUGGACCCAUAUCAUGGUCCUAACACCUUUCGUCUGAGGUGUCUCCGCCUGUUGUCAUGAGACGGUCUGAAUCUGGGCUCAUAUUAUAGCCCUCACACCUUCCAUCCGAAGUGUCUCCGCUCAUCGUGGAGCGGUCUGAAUCUAGGUUCAUAUCAUGGCCCACAAACCUUCCUCUAAGGUGUCUCUGCCCGUUGUCAUGGGACAGUCUGAUCUUGGACCCAUAUCAUGGUCCUCACACCUUCUGUCUAAGGUGUCUCUGCCUGUUGUCAUGAGACGGCCACAUCCUCCUUCAUCGGGGAUGUCUCUAGUGGCUCUAAGAUUCUCUACCACCAUGUGGACUUGGGAGAGAUUACUGCCACUGAUUACAUAGAAAGAUAAAGUUGUGGCAUACUCCUCGCAAUCCUCCACCUCGAUUUCUAUGUCUGGAGCUUCUACGCCUUUCUACUUGAUAGCUCCACCUACACCACUCUCUUUAGUGUCUUCGCCUUUCAUCAUAGGCGGUCACCUUUGUCACAGGCGUUUGCACCCCCUCAAUUAGGUGCCUCUGCAACAGCUCAUCUUUCCAUCAUUGCAUGCAUUGGAAAGGUCCUCGCUUGUUGCCUUCAUCAAGAGCACAAGAGAUUUCUUGUUGUAUAACUUUUUCACACCGUCUCUACUCUAAGCUUCAUCUGGGAACUCUUAUUCUCCUUGCACCUACUGUCUCAUUACAGUACCUCGUUGGAUCCUACGGGUACUCCUGCACAAUCUCCGUGUGCUCUCGUGCAAUUCCGGUUCUCUAGAUUUCUCCCUAUUUUUUGCUUUUAUGUUUGACAACAGCUCAUCCUGUCACAACAUUUAUCCAAGUCAAAAUAGGGUGCCAAUCUUUAUCCCCUUGUUGUAUUUCUCUUCCAUUAUCAGGGUCUUCAUUAAUUCUCCCUUCGAGAAAUUACAGUCACCGAAUCUAACUUCUUUGGAGAAAUCACCACUCCAUUAGAUCCUUGAACAUACGGAACCCAACUGUUCCUUUAUGUCGUCAUCUUGCUAGUCUUCAACAGUUUCAUUACAAACUGUUACAUAUACAAAAAUAGUACUGUGUGGAUGAUCCUUCAACUAAGCAAGUUCCCAGGAAAGAUUUGGAGGGGUCACACUGGUCCCGUGAUUAGUACUUAAAAGUGCAUGUUUAUCAAGGUUUUAUAUCAUCAUUUUGCACUUGAAGUAUCAAUAACUCCUUAACUAAAGCAUGUUUUAUAAUAACAAGUUUGAUACUAUAAGAUACCUUAAUUUAUGGUAAAUGCUCAUCUUAUAUGCAGGCCUAUCACAUAAAUAAAAUGAUUGAUUGAUGAGUUUAAGUAUUGAAAGUGAAAGGACAAAGAGAUGGCCAAACUUAGAAAAGAGAUGUCGGUGCAGUCCAAACCAGAACAUUGCUCGGUAAUUGGAUCAUAUUUGGAGCUCUAGAUCUCAGAUUUAGGUCCAUUUUAUAUGGAUGGAAAGGUAAUACAAAGGCCUACAACUUUCAUGAGGAGCCUAAGAUUUAAAAAGGUCGUUUUGAAGUCCAAAUUGAAGGAACAACGAAGAAGUCCGAAGCUGUCCUGCAGCCCAGACACUAUUUAGUGUUCAACCCAUAUCUUGAGUUCUAGAAGUCCAAAUGACCUCAUCUUUUUUUUUUUGGAAAGCUGAGACAAUUUCCUAGAACAUUCCUGAGGAUUCUGGGCAAAUUAUUAUGUUAGAAAUGACGUUUUGUUCAGACAAGAAGAUAAGGAUUGUCACCAAGUCAAGAUGUGGCCACCCACUCAUCAAUUAGUCAACAAAUCAAUAGUUCUAAAUUUUGGCCUAUAAAAGGAGGCACUUACCAUGUAUUGAGGCAUCUUGGUUUCCAGAUCAAGAUCAUGCUCUUGCUUUCUCUCUUUGUAUUGCUUAUGUCUUGCUUUCAUUAAUAUCAAGUUUAUGCACUUCAUUUUCUUUCCUUUACUUAGUUAACUUCUUUCUCAUUUAUGUUCUUAUCUUGUUCAUUUAUGUUUCUUUCUUUCAUUAUGUUCAGCUAAGUUAAUUAUGUCAAGGUGAAAAGGGUACACUAAUGGUGUAAGAAUAAGUAUAAUAUAAACUUAACAUGGACCUUAACGUUGGAUACUAACAUGUUUUAUAUUUGUUAUCUUGUUCACUUUUAAUACUUUGCUUGUUAAAUGGUUAAUCUAGAUUUAUGUUAUAUAACAUUUGGUACAACAAAUACUUGGUACUUUCAUAGCCCAUACUGUAUGGUAUAACCGACACCUGAGCUAUAAAAGGAACUUGAUUUGUUGUUAACAUAAGUUAUAAUCAUGAAUGCCUGCCAACAUUUACAAGUAUUAGCUUUAUUCGAAUAAGAUAACUAAUGUAAUCAUGUUAACAAUUUAUAAUCUGAUUGGAACCUCCUUUAUGUGUGGUUUCCAAUUGAGUAAUAAGAGUUUAUACUAUACUUGUUUGAAAUACCAUUAGUGGAUCCUCUAACCUUGACAUUUGUUGUUGUUAUUGUUUAAUCCUUACGUUAAUCUUUCAUCUCAAAGUUCUCAUUAAUUUCUUCAUCUUCUGCUUUUAUUAUUAUUAUUAUUAUUAUUAUUAUUAUUAUUAUUUACAUUCUGUUUAUAUUAUAUAAUAUAUAUCUUUGAUCUUUUCAUAAACUCAGUAUAUAGGCUGGAAACCUGUGACCCGAUCUUUUAGAUUAUUCUCAGGUAUAACAACGCCACGUACUAAGUAUUAUAAUUAUUAUUGUUGUUAUUAUUGUUGUUGUUGUUAUUGUUGUUGUAUUGUUAUUUAUAAUUUAUACAAUUAAUCUCUAUGUGGUUCGACCCCGGUUUUGCCGGGUUAUUUAUUACUUCGACACUCCUGCACUUGGGAAAAGACAUCAAGCUUUAGGUCGUGUCAAGUUUUUGGCGCCGUUGCCGGGGAGGUAAAUUCUUGUAUAAAUUAUAAUUUUUAUUUCUUUUUAUUUUUUUCAUUUUAUUUAAUUUUGUUUCUUUUCUUUUCUUGCUUUUAUUCUCUUUUUACACGUGCAUGAGAGUUUGGUCACGUAUAUUAAGUGGUCGACUUUGUAGGGUAUCCUCAUCAUUUUUAGAAAAUAUGGCUGAAGAAGAUAAUCAAUCGCUUCAUAAUGAGAAUAAUGAGAAUAACCGUAUGAGAACACUUAGAAAUCACAUGAAUCCCACAAGAACAAGUGCACCCUCAUGCAUAGUUUUCCCUUUCCUUUCCUGGUAUGAUACAAGCAUGAGGCUAGUAGAAUGCAAGGACAAGUGUCUAAAAAACUACAAUUGCACGGCAUAUGCAAAUUCAAAUAUCACAGGAGAAGGCAGUGGCUGCAUACUCUGGUUCGGUGAAUUGGCUGAUAUGAGAGAGUUUAGUUAUGGGGGCCAAGACCUCUACAUAAGGAUGCCACCACCUUUGAAAACAGGUAUUUUUCAAUAUUCUUCCCAUGAUUCUCAAGCAGGGUAUUUUUUUUCACUCUUUCUCUCUGUUUCUUUGUUUUUUUUUUUGAAAUGAGGAAGUUGUAUGUUCCUUGAAUGUUUUCCUAACUUCGUGUCCUCAUUUCCUCAUUCUAUUUACAAAUAAAACAGAACUCCUUUCUGUGUUUAUUGUGGGUUUUCAGAUCAGGCGACGUCAAACACAAAUUCUGGUAAGAAGAAGCUUUCAGGAAUCAUACUCGGUUCCACACUCCUUGCUGGAGUGCUUAUGGUAGGACUAAUCUUCUAUAUAUGGAGAAAGAAGCAGAAAAAGCAAGGUAGUGUACUGUGGACAAUUCUUCUUAUUCCAGAACAUGGACCUUGUUGAUAUAUAUAGUAUGCAUGGUAGAAUUUUAUGUUAGUCAUCGAUAACAAAAUGAAGCAUUUGUUAGAUCAUUGCUGACAACUGAUCAAUCUUCUGCUAUUCAGAAAUAGAGGAAGACAUGGAGUUGCCAUCGUUUCAUUUGGCCACCAUAGUGAAAGCAACGGAUAACUUUUCAAGCAACAACAAGUUGGGACAAGGUGGUUUUGGACCGGUAUAUAAGGUAUAUAACAACGUGCUUCAAAGCUGAGAGAUCAUCUACUAUGAGAUAUUCUAACUUCAGUAAAUAACGAUUCCCAGGGUACAUUGAUUGAUGGGCAAGAAAUAGCAGUGAAAAGACUCUCAAAAAGUUCUCGGCAAGGAUUGACAGAGUUCAAGAAUGAAGUUAUCUUGAUAGCUAAGCUUCAGCACAGAAAUCUUGUUAAACUUCUUGGCUGUUGCAUUCAAGGAGAUGAAGUAAUGUUGAUCUAUGAAUUCAUGCCCAACAAAAGCCUAGAUUGUUUUAUUUUCGGUUUGUACCCCAUGAACUGGUUAGAGUUUCUUGCAGUUAGAUUGCUUGUUCUAUGAUGUUUCAUUUAUACAUCAGAAUAACAUAACAUUAUGAUAAAUUGAUUAGAUCAAACAAGAAACAAAUUCCUGGACUGGCAGAGACGUAACCUCAUUAUCGGUGGCAUUGCUAGAGGACUACUUUAUCUUCAUCAAGACUCUAGACUAAGGAUUAUCCAUAGAGAUCUCAAAGCCAGCAACAUAUUAUUAGAUAAGGAUAUGAACCCCAAAAUUUCAGAUUUUGGAAUGGCUAGACUGUUUGGAGGAGACCAAAUUGAAGCAAACACAAAUAAAGUGGUCGGAACAUAGUAAGUACACUCUACACCUAUUUUGUUACAAUGUAUAAUCUCCGCACAUUUAAACUUUUUCUGAAAAUGUUUUUCCGCAGUGGAUACAUGUCCCCUGAGUACGUUGUUGAUGGGCGUUUCUCACUGAAAUCCGACGUCUUCAGCUUCGGUGGUUUAGUCUUGGAGAUAAUAAGUGGGAAGAAAAAUAGAGGAUUCUCCCACCCGGAUCAUUGCUAUAAUCUUCUUGGACAUGUAAGGAUAAAAUUAAACAUGUUAAUUUAAUUUAAUUAUGUAUUAACAAUUUUUCUCAUGACAAGUUUUUUGUUUUCCAGGCAUGGAAACUGUGGACGGAAGAGAGGGCAUUGGAGCUUCUUGAAAAUAUGUCAGAUCGCCCGUAUUCUGUAUCUGAAGUAUUGAGAUGCAUUCAUGUGGGUCUGCUAUGCUAUGGUUUUGAUGUUGGGCAGUGAGAAUUCAUUGCCUGACCCAAAGCAACCUGGUUUUUUCACGGAAAGGAAUAUGCCCGCAGUGGAGUACUCUUCAUCAGGAAAUCAUGAAUCAUCAUCUAUAAAUGACCUAACUAUUUCAGAGCUAGAUGCACUGUAGAAGAUUGGCUCUGAUGGUUAAAAGGAAGAGCAUAUAUAUAUAUAUAUAUAUAUAUAUAUAUUUCUAGCCAAAUCCAAGGCAUAUAACAGAAGUUAAAUAUUUUCUGCUAUAAUUAUGUUGAUGUAUUAUUUUUACCUGUCUACAAGUCCUCUGCAAGUACUGUUGCGAAUACAGAUAUACAGAAUGCUUGAGGAUUCACAUCUCUGGACUGCACAAUAUCUGUACUUGUUUGCUUCGAGCCAACGAAUUUAAUGCACGGAUCUGGGUUCAAGAUCUAUAUAUGCUAGAGCCUCACUGGCUUCUAACCCAAAAAGAAUCCAUUAGAACUUCUUACUAGAUUUAUAUGUACAAUUCAAUAAUUCUUUUGUAUUGAAAAGUUUUAUAUUAUAUUUUUCUCUCACAUUUUAUUUAAAUCACUCAUUGAUUAUAAUGUUGUUGACUUUCUUUGUUAGAUUCUAAUGUAAUUUAAUUUUUUGGCUAGAAUUGUCAAUAUAUAAUUAGUAAAAAAAAAAUUACAUACAAUUUAAACAAUCCAAAUUUAUAAUUCAAAUUUACAUUAUAUUUUUCAUGACAUGUUAAAAAAAUAUAUUUGUAACAACCAUACAAGGAACUAUAGUUUUUCCUUGAUUGAUUUCAUAGCACCUUAAACUUAGCCUUGACCUAACCCUUUUAGGGAUAAAUAUUAUAGGUACGAGUACCUUGAUGAUACUUAGCCUUGACCUAACAAAUUUUCAUAUCAUAAUUCCAAAAUUUUGAAAAUAAAAAUAAAAUGCAAAAACUAAAAUAGAAAAUCAAAAAUAAAAUGAUAUCAAAAAACCCUUCUAACUUUUCUUUUUUAUGUAAGGGUUGAAUUAUAUUAACUCAAUUAACCCAUCUUUCUAAAUUAAGUUAUAUAUUUUUUAAUAAUUUAUGUAUUUUAUCUCAAAUAGAUAAAACAUUAAAAAUAGAAGAGUUAUUAUGGAUCCCACAAAAUAAUAGCUGUAAAGCAUAUAUAGCUUGAUAUUAUGACAAAAAGAUGUCAUAUUGACGUUUUAAUUAACUUAUUAUGUUAUAAUGGAGGAACCUUUACAAAAUAAAAUAAAGAGAAGAGGGAUUUAAUCAAUAUUAAAAUAUAAAAAGAGUAGUUGCUAUAAAAAUAAAUAAAUUGAAGAGUACAAAGAUGAAAUAUGAGUGGAACCUGCUAUUUAAUAUGAAUUUUAUGGUUUCGUCCAAACUGGCCACAACAAUCAUAUGGUUUCGUUCAAAGUUCAAACUCGUGUAUGGAUGGGCUUCAAAUGAAAGCCUCUUAUGGAUUUUGGAAAAAGAAUAAUUUAUACUAGGAAAUAGGCCAAGAAAUCAAGGAUGGAAAAACGAGAGAGAAGAAAUCUAUGACAUAGUAUACAACUUGGAGAAAUAUUAUCAAAAUUAAAGGUUCAAGAUGUUGAUAGAAUCGGUAUUUAUUAUAGACGUGAAAAAAUACGAUUAAUGUUUGUUUUUAGUUUAAUUUAGUCUUUGCUUUGUUUUAUUUUGCAUGUUUUAGGGCUUUAGUUGUAUUUGUAUGCUUUUUUUUUGUCAUUAAAGGACUGCUAAAAAAAAAAAUAUUGUAAUUGGAAAAACAUCUAUCUGUAGAUGCAAAACGAUAGAAAUAUCUAUGAUAGUUUGCCAUCUUGAAAAAUGGCAAGUAAUGUGAUCAAUAUGCUACGGCAAUUAUGUAAAGCAAAGAGAAAGAAAUUACACUUAAUUUGUUUUUUGUAAAAAAAAAAAAAAAAAAAAACCUUUGAAUGACAUUACACUUUAAACUUUUAAAAAGUCUUUUAUGAAAAAACUUAUAUAUAUAAAAAAACACCCUUCACCAAAUUUGUCCAAGGCGGGUUAAGGGUAAGCUUCCACCAACCUUUGCUAGCAUUUAAUAAUUGCAAGAAAAUGUUCCCUCUUGACUUUGCCGUCCCGCUGGGGACGUAACAUUGUACUAAGAAUUUAUCAGGAUCCAAUGUAUCCAAAGCUCGAAGGUCAUGGGAAGCUGAAACAUUGAUGAUAUGACCCCACGUAUCAUUAUGAUGAUGAACAAGAACUUCCAAUAGCAGACCACUGUUUUGAGCUGCAUGGGAUCAAUCCAAUCAAGCUAGGUGUAAUAUUAUGGUGCCAUUUUGCUUGUAAAUCCUGUUCUAGCCGGGAAAGUGGGUAUGUCCUGUACUAUUUUAAAAAACAAAAUAAGGUGAAGCGAAUUUUAUCCCUAAGAGGAGGAUCUCGAAUCAUUUUGAAUUUGUUGUUCAAAUUUCAAUUAAGAUAUCCUAGGUUUACCCGUUUUCAAAUAAUAUUUUAGCGAUUCAAAAUAAGGUUGUUGAAAGUUACAUCAAUGGAGAGAGGGAUGUUAAGGCUAGGGUUGACGCAAUGAACGGUGAGAGUCGUUCAAGGAGUUGAACUUCAAACAUUUUACCUGAUGCUGCACACAUUUAUAGCUUAUGUACGCUGCCCAUAUGAGAGUCCCAAAUUGGACCCAUUCGUAGCGCUGUUUCUCUGUCAUUCGUCGACUGUAGUUAUCAAUGAACUAGCAAGCUUUAUUAGAGUUCUUGCAUGGCUGACAACAGAUAAGCAAGUUAGGCUCUUAAUGUUGGAUGUGUUUUUGGAUUUCUUGGGCUUUAGCCUAGCUGUUAAUGGCAUGUCUUUGUCAGGUGCCCUACUCAUGCGUAAUUUGGAGACCAUAUGAUAAUAUUUCCAGCAAUUUAUAGAAACUAGCUCCAAGUUCUCGAUCCGUUUUCAUAUUGACAAAGAGAAUGGCCGCACAAGUGCUAAGGGCUCAAGGUUAUCUUUCGUCCUUAAUUUGAUUCCCGACGGGGUUUGCUCACCUUUUUCUGAACACACUCUUCCUGACCUUCCAAUGGUGAACAAGUCAAAUCUUUGAUGGAGAUUUUAGCGAUUAAAUAAGGUUGUUGAAAGUUACAUGAAUGGAGAGAGGGAUGUUAAGGCUAGGGUUGACGCAAUGAACGGUGAGGAUUAGAUAAGGAGAAUGUGGAUGACUUGUGUUCUCUAGUCAAUUGAGGGUUGACAGGUGCAACGAAGGGUAUUAAACGGCAGCACUUAGGCUAUAGAGAAGAAGACUUGGUCCAAGAUCAUGCUAGAUCUUUACAACUUGACAGAAUCAGUCCAUUCCAAAUUCAAGUUUGAUGUUUGUUUUAUUUAUAGGACCAGGAAUAAAUCAUGAUAUUCUUAAAGCAUAACCAAAUUUAAAUACAUACCUACUGUUAUGUUUUUAUAUAUAUAUAUAUAUAAACAUAACAGUAGGUUUAGAUUGACUUUAAAUGAUAAAUAACAUUUUGUAGUUUUAUACCGACGGAAAAUACUCCGUCGGCGAUAUAGUGUAUGACCGACGAUCCAUAUCUGUCGGUAAAGUUGUCGGUGAGUGUUUGAAAUACCGACCGAAUAUAUCCAUCUGUAAAUUCGUCGGUACGUUUAGCAGCUACUGUCAAAUGCCGACGGAUUAAUUCUGUCAGUAACGCUGUCGGUGAGUAUGAAAUACCAACCAAAUGUAUCCGUCUGGAUAUUCAUUGGUGAUGGUGGCAGCUACUGUCAAAUGCCGACGGAUUUAGUCCGUCGGUAAAUCCCUUUGUAAUUGUUUUUUUUUUAAUUUUGUUUUUUAAAAAUUAUUUAGAAUACAUAAUAUAAAAUAAUAUAAAUUAAUGGUAAUAAAAACCAAUUAUGGAAAUAAAAUUUAUAUUAAGCAUCAAAAACAAAAAAUCAAAGUUAAAUAAUAUUCAUUACAAAAUGAAUGUGUUUCAAAAAAACAUUAAACGAAAUUUUAAAUGUAAAUAAUGUUUAUUAAAAAUUAAUAUAAAAGGUGGAGCUGGAGGAGGAGGAGGAGGCUGGCGGUCAUACGGCCAAAAAGGAUUAGGCGCACAUGUUCCACCUUGUGCCAUGUUCAUGACCAUUUCACGAAGCUCUUCAUAGGCCGCUCUUUGUUGUUCAGACUCCGCUCUGUGUUGCUCUUUGAGUUGUUCGUACACCACUCUUUGUUGUUCUUUGAGUUGUGUGUAUGCCUCUGAUAGGUGGUCAUACUUUUCGGUGAGCUGAGCCGUGUGUUGCUGUAAGGCCACAAACUACUUAGAUUGGGAGCUCCUGACGGUUGAAGCACCACUGGCCUACCGCAAGUUGUCGGUCGUAGUGUUGGAGAGCCCAUAAACCUGAUUUUUAUCAAGUCCACCUAACGAUCCAGCCUCCAUCCACAAAUCCAGAUCGAAUUCUGAAUGGGUCAAAGGAUCGUCCCCGUAUCUCUCCCUCAACCGCUUAUUAUAGGUGUCCUGAAAAUAAAAAAAGUAAUCAUCAUAUUCAAUUCAAUAAACAUAAUAAUAACUUACAAAAUAAAAUGGUUGAACAAACAUACCAUAAAAUGUUGAGCAUGGCUGUCAACGAGCUGUUGCGCCCCCUUUUGGCGGUCUUGACUCCGCACGUGCAUCUCCACAAACAGCUCCAUCGGGCUCGGCUCACGUCCAAGACACGUAGCCUAUAAUGAAAAAAAAUUAUUAACAGCAAAUUAAUUGAAUGAUAUAUUUCAUUUAAAUUAAUCUUACCAUUCGUUUCGUAUGUGCAACAAACGGAACGGAGUCGCCGGUGUGCGUUGUCACCGAGCCAUGAAUUGGCCGAUUCGGGUUGCCAGCACCGGACUGUGAGCGUCGUGUGAACCGCUCAGACAUCACGUGCUGAAGAUAGUGCGGCCAUAUAUCUUCCUGGAUGUAUAUCGGUUUGAAAUCCCUCCAAACCGCAACAUCGUUCCAGCCUUGGAACCCCUUCUUCCUCGCAUUGUUUUUUGCUUUUUUUUUAGCUUCGUACCAAAAAUCACGCAACCUACUUCACGCAAGCAAAAAUUACAUUUCGAAACAUAAAUUUUUUUGUAAAAAAAAAAAGUUGUAUUGUUUUCGAUGUUACCUAGUUGCCGCGUGAUUUUCCCAAACCCUCCUCACAACAGUGUUAUGUUCAUCGUCCCAGCAGAAUCGGUUCUGUGUAUAAAAAAUUAAUUUUUUAAAAUGUUAAUAAUUUAUUUACAAUUAUAUUAAGAAUUUAUUAGAAAUAAACUGAAAAUUAUAUAUUAACACGAACCUGAAAUCUAGAAAACCAUGCAUUGAUUUGAGGCAUUCAUUCAGGAUGCCUCGAUAUCUAACUCUAUUGAAACAAUGGAAUCUCCAUCGACGAUUUAAACGCCGAUGAUAUUACUCGGGCAGCCUCAAUGUUUGUGAACUUGAAAAGAAAUGAAAUUAAGGAAAUAGUGACUAUUUCAUAAAUUAUGUUUUAAAUUUGUUUAAAAAAACAACACAAAAACCUUAACAAACCUACAUUGAAAGAUCGUCUUUCCAUUGUGCCUCGUACUUGUGGGUAAAUUGAUUCCGCUACGAAGGCACGCCGCUUAUGCGCUGUGAAACAGCGCUGGAAGAGGCAGCAUCGAUUGACGGCGCAGGUGGUGUAGGUGCCUCUUCUUGAGAGGCACCUAAGGAAAUAUCAUCCUCGCUGCUAGACGAACUUGAUUCGACCGGACGUGAACGACCAGCCCUGGUUUUCAUUUUGCGCAUCUACUCAAUUUUAUAUACAUAAUUAUAUAAUUAAAUGUAAAUGUUAAAAAAAAUUCGACAGCACCUCCCCUAUACUGGAUACUACCCAAAUCCACAAACUUACAAAUAUUAACAAUAGCCACAACCAAUUGACCCAAUCUAUUGACCCAAUCUAUACUAAUUAUUUUAACAUAUUCAAUUACUAAUCCUAAGGUAAAUUCAACAUUAACAAUUACAAUUCAACAAAUUAUUCAAUAAUUAUGCCAAUACAACAAAACAAUAAAUUCAAAAUAAAUAGAAACAAUUAAACACAAAUCAUGCAAUAAUAGAGUAAAAUUAAUAAUUCUUCCAACAUAUUCAAUUACUAAUUCUAAGGUAAAUUCAACAUUAACAAUAUUAAUUCAACAAAUUAUUCUAUAAUUAUGCCAAUACAACAAUAAAAUAUAUUCAAUAAAUGAAAAAAGAAUUAUAGCCUAACAAUUAAAAUCAAUGGAAACAAUUAAACACAAAUCAUGCAAUAAUAUAGAAAAAUUACUAAUUAUUCCAACAUAUCCAAUUACUAAUUCUAAGGUAAAUUCAACAUUAACAACAAAUAAUCAACAAAUUAACUAAUAACAAUUAUGCCAAUACAACAAUAAAAUAUAUUCAAUAAAUUAAAAAAAAAUUAUAAACUAACAAUUAAAAACAAUGGAAAUAAUUAAACACAAAUCAUGCAAUAAUAUAGUAAAAUUAAUAAUUAUUCCAACAUAUGCAAUUACUAAUUCUAAGGUAAAUUCAACAUUAACAACAAAUAUUCAACAAAUUAACUAAUAACAAUUAUGCCAAUACAACAAUAAAAUAUAUUCAAUAAAUUAAAAAAAAACUAUAGACUUUAGGGAAGAAAUAUGCAUACCUUAAUAAUUUGUUGAAACAAAAACUUUAUCUACAUUACAAAAAAAUACACCAAAACAAAAAAACAUAAAAAUAAUAAAAUAACGAAAAAUAAAAUAAAAUGAAAUAGGAAAAAACACAUACCUUUUAAUGUGAUGGAGAUUCACAACAAAGCUUGCUAGAGAUUCUAGGUGAAAGACUUGAAGAUUUGAGAGGAAACAAAUCAAAAUUCUAAGGUGAGAAACGGAGGAGAAGAAAAAAAGAACUAAAGGGGCGGACGCAAGAACUUAUAGGGCAGUUUUACCGACGGAAAUAAAAAUUAUUAUUAUUUAAAUUAAAUUCGUCGGUAACGUGUUAAAAAUCCGUCGGCAAUUUUUGAAUUUCGCGGUUCGUCGGUAUGCUGACUCGGUUAGAGGUUCAUUCAAUGCAGACCCUUUGGAAUUCGCACAUUCCGUCAGUAUUUUUGUCGGUAAGAUUUUCCCACCGACAAAUUACUGACGGCCAUAAUUACGUCGGUGAGGUCGUCGGUGAUUGUGGCGUUUCGCGUAAUUAUUGACGAACACUUUGUGAGAUGCCGACGGACUUUAGUCCGUCUAAAGUCCGUCGGUGAAUCCGUCAAUAUGGGCGUCGGUGAUUGUGGCAUUUCGCGUAAUUAUUUUCGAACUCUCUGUGAGAUACCGACGGAUAUAAUUACGUCGGUGAGGUCGUCGAUGAUUGUGGCAUUUCACGUAAUUAUUUUUUAAAUCUAUGUGAGAUGCCGAUGGACGUGAGUCCGUCGGUGUGUGUGUCGGUGAAUCUGUCGGUACGACGUCGGUGAUUGUGGCAUUUCACGUAAUUAUUUUCGAACUCUCUGUGAGAUGCCGACGGAUGUUAUUCCGUCGGUAUGGACGUCGGGAAGUUUGCAUUUUACAGGAAAAGUUGUAUUUGUAUUGCCUAUUUACCUUUCUACAAAAACUUAACUGAUAAACUGUCCAUCGCAUAAAACAAUAACAACAGUGCUUAAGCAAUAAAUAUUUUGUGUUACAAAAUAUAUCAUCCAUAAUCUAAAUUACAUGAAAAAAAAGGGUUUUACAUAGGGCUUCAUUUUGAUAGUUAGUCGGAAUUUUCUUCUUCUUCCUCAUCAAUUGAAUUGUCAUCACCUUCAUCGCAAUCUUUAAUAUGGAUAUCAUCUUCUUCAUUGACAUUUGCUUGUCCGCUAGAGCUCAGAACAACAUUCAACUCCUCUGCAUCAAUAUCAACAAGACUAUCAUCGAAAACAUGAAAAUUUGAAUUUUCUUCCAAUUCAAUCGAAGGAGCAACUCGAUAUGGUUCAACCAACUCACUAACUUGAAAGACUUCAUCUCGCACACUUGUGUCUUCGUUCUCAUCCUGAACAACCUCGACAUGACCCCGUGGUUUUGUUUUUAAAAUGGACAACCAAUUAACUCUUGAUCGAUCCUUUCUAAAUGAAAGGGUGUAUGUGUAAUAAACUUGUUGACAUUGCUUUGCGAAAACAAAGACAUUGUUUAUGUUGCGAAGUCUAGCUUUUGAGUUGAUUUCGACCAGACCAUAGUGUUGUAACCCAUUUUUGGGUCCCCACAUAAAAAAUAAUAAAAUACAAAAAAAUUCAAAAAAUUCAAAAAAAUAUAUUAUCAAAAAAUAUAACAGUGAAAAAAUGCCAGAGCGCCCUAAAAAUGCUCAAAAAUUGAUUGAGGAUGUUCAAAAAUCAAAAAUUAAUUUUUGACAGUAUAUCAUUGACUGAUGAGAGCCCCGAUGAUAAAGAAAAUUCAAUUUGUGGAAGAAAAAUGCAAAAUCAGAAGUUUAUGGACUCAAUUAAAUUUUAUUAAAGGUUUAAUUGCAUUUAUGAAGGUUUUAAUUGCAAAAACAAUUGAUUUUGGAGUUAUUUUGGGCUUUAAUUGGAAGAAAUUAAUUUUCUGGGGUCAAAUUAUAAUUUUCUUUCCCGUUUUUCGCGCAAUAAGACGCCCGCAAUCACCCACUUGUAUCCUCCUUUUUAUCCUUCUGAGUUGAUAGUAGAGGGGCGGCCGACAGUGGCCGCCCCACCACGACACCGCCCCCCUAUUUUUGCCUAUAAAAACAGGGGAGGGGCACCGAGAAAAAAAAAAACAAAGAACAAAAGGGAGAGGGAGACAAACCGAGAUAGAAGAGAAGAGAAGAGAGAGGGCAGAGAAGAAGAAGAAGGAGAAGAAGCAGCAGGGAAGAAAACGAAGAAAAACAGAAGAGAGAGAGAGAGAGAGAGAACCACCGCCGGCCUCCGCCACCGUGCCUACGCCGCCAGCAGCACCGCCACGACGUCACCGCAGGUAAUCUCUCGCCGCCCUGUCGCCUUCUCUGUUUGCUGCCUCCCUCAUUUGCAUGCAGAACAUGAAUAAAUUCACGUUCUGCAGCUGAAGAGGGCUGGUUACUGUGCUUAGGCACAGUAACCAGCCCAUUUGGUAAUGGGCCGGGUUGGCCCAUAUCAAUGGGCUGGGCCGGACCCGGCCCAUUUCAAUUUAUUUUUUUCUCAGAAGUUUUUUACAAUUUUUUUGGCACAUUUUUUUUUAUCAAUUUUGCUUAAUAUCGGUCUGUAUUUUACAUCGUAAAAAUAUAAAUUCGGUAUUAAAAUACUCGGUUUUCAUACGGUACUGUUCACACAACAACAAAAAAUCAAAAAUAUUUGUUUCAGCAUUUUAUAAUUUUUCCACGUAGUUUUUUAUGUCAUUUUGAUUAAUAUCGGGCAGUAUUUUUACAUCGUAAAAAUAUAAAUCCGGUAUUAAAAUACCCGGUUUUCGGCAAAAACUUCAAAAAAUAAAAAAAAUUGAAAAAAGAUAAAAAAAUGUUUUUGUGCAUACGGCCAAGUGUCUCAAAUCUAAAAUAUCAUAUUGUAUUUUUCAUAUGUCAAAAAACAAUAUUUUAGCAUGCAUUUUGGCUUUAAUAACCAGUUUAUUAAAGUCAAGAGAACAUUGGCCAAAAUCUCAAAAACAACAAAUAUUUUAUUUUGUUUGAUUUUAGUAUCAGGGAUUAUGAAUUUAUACGUAAAUCGUAUUCCUGAUAUUAAAAAGAUAUUUUCUUUUGACGGCUUCGAAUAGUUAGUUUUUUACCCGAUAAAGAUAAGGAUCUCCUUACAGGAGGACUUUUCUUAAACCGUAAACGAACCAACAAUUCAAAAACCACAACACGAUUUUAGAUUUUAUCAGACAUUAAAACAAUGCAGCCUACCUUAGGUAGGGCGUAGUUGGGGUGCUAAUACCUUCCCUUUACGCAACCAGUCUCCGUACCCGAUCUCUAAAGACCGAUUAAGGUUCCUAGUAACCAAAACACUAGGUGGCGACUCCCAUUCCAAUUUUUCACUUGUAGAGACAAGAAUUCCUUGUCUCUCCCUUUUUUCCAGGAAUAAAUAUUCCAAUUUUUCCUUGAGGGUGGACGAUCGCCGCGCCGCCGCACACGUGCGACACAUAGUGCGGAUGAACUCUGAUUCCUCUGUCUGUCGUGUCAUACCAAUAGUAUUUGAAUAAAAACACUUUAUUCUGCUCGCUAUGAUAUUGCAGUUCGAUGACCUCAUCUAAUCUACCAUAGUAGUCAACUUCUAACUCACUACUUGUGGAUUCCUUAACACAAACACCGUAGUUGUAUGUCUUUCUUCCUUGCCCGUAUUCUUCAGUUUGGAAAGCAUAUCCAUUGACAAAAUACCCGUUGUAGCACUUAACUUUUCUUUCAGGCCCAAGGCUUAGUGAAGACAAUGACUUAGGCACACUCAUUCCCAUUUGAUAAACCUUAUAUAUAUGUAAUGUACAUCAAUAAACAGUAAAUGAACGAGAAUCUCGUAAUGACAUGCAUACGUACAGUAAUUUUGCAAGUUAGAAUGAGUUUGUGAUAAUGCUUACAUGUGUUCUGAACCAUGUGGCAAAUUGUUCAUCUUCUAAUUGAAAGAUCUGGGAUUCGGUCAGCUGCGAGUUAUUGGAGAGCAAAUAUUAUCGAUGUUGCCUGCAAGUGAUAAUGAGUGUAUGAUAUUACAAUAUAUAAUUAGCAGUAUAUAACUGACAAAGUUUAAUUAGUAUUACACAUAUAUAAACUUACUAAAUAAAUGGUCUCAACUCAUCACAGUUAAAUAGAACAUAGUUGUGUACUUGUUUGAAUUAUAUUUCCGACAAAUAUCUUCCUUUUAUGAUAUUUUUAGGUGUGGGUCGUCCAGUAUUGGAGAAUAUUGACAAGUUUCCACUAGAAGGCACUUCACCGCCAUCAUCAUGCCGUGGAACGCGAUUGAUUCUUAUUCUCAGAUGAAGUUUGAAAUAGUAUGAGAUAAAUGUUGAGAUCUCCUCAACAAUAUAGGCCUCAGAUAUCGAAGCCUUAACAUGCGCCUUGUUCUUAACCUUUUUCUUGAGAUUAAACAAGUACCUGCAUUGAAUUACAAUUCAAGUAUUUUCAAUUAAGAAAAACAUAGAAAAUACUUUUAUAUAUGAAUUCCAUUGCAACUGUAAUAUCUAACCGUUCGAAUGGGUACAUCCAUCUAUACUGGACCGGUCCUCCAGCUUUUGCCUCGAACGGUAGAUGUAUACGGAGAUGCUCCAUUGAGUCAAAAAAUGAAGGAGGAAAUAUCAUCUCAAGUUUGCAUAGUGUCUCGACGAUAUUCAUUUGAAGCCUCUUAAUGUGCUCAACAUUCAACUUGCUGGAGCAUAUAUCUCUGAAGAAAUGACUGAUCUUCGUCAGUGCAUCCCAUAUUCCCUUUGGCAACAAAUCACGAAAAGCUAAUAGGAUGAGUGUUUACAUAAACACGUGGCAGUCAUGACUCUUCAUUCCAUACAAUCUGCAGUCCUUUAUGUUAACAAGCCUUGAUAUGUUCGAUGCAUGUCCAUCCGGAAAACGCAGACUCUUAAGCCUUUUGUAAACUAGCAGUUGUGCGUUUUUCUCUAACACGAAGCUUGCCUUUGCUUUUGCGACUCGUGACUGCUCAUAAACCAACUCCAUAUUUUUACGGUUAUAGUAUAAAUCUAUAUCCAAUCUAGCCUUGAUGUUGUCCUUUGUCUUCCCCUUCACAUCCAUGACUGUGUUGAAAAUAUUCUCAAACACGUUUUUUUCGAUGUGCAUGACGUCAAGGUUAUGGCUAAGAAGAUUGGUCUUCCAAUAAGGAAGCUACCAAAAGAUACUUCGCUUUACCCAGUUAUGGGUCAAACCAAAACCAGGAAACUUUUGCUUACGUAAUUGAAGGCUAAAAACAAUGUCACCGUACUCUGAUACAACAUGGUGCAAUUCUUCACCAGAAAGACGCGGGGAUGCAACAUCUUUUUCAACUCUGCCAACAAAGAAAUCUUUUCUGUUCUCUCUGUACCUAUGAUUAAGUGGAAAGAAGCGACGAUGACAGUAAAAAAUAAAAGCUUUACCUCCGUUUGCUAGUGUGAAUGCCUUGUUGUUUUCCAUGCAGUAUGGACAUGCGAGUUUCCCAUGCGUGCUCCAACCAGAAAGAAUUCCAUAAGCUGGAAAAUCAUUGAUAGUCCACAUCAAAGCCGCCCUCAUAAUGAAAUUUUGUUUCCUCAAUAUAUCAUAAGUCAGAGCUUCGGAGGACCACAACUGCGCCAGCUCAUCAAUCAAUGGUCGAAGACAAACAUCUAUAUUCCGCCCCGAGCUGCUUGGACCGGGUAUGACAGUAGAUAAAAACAUGAACUUCAGCCUCAUACACAUUCCUGGUGGCAAGUUAUAAACUGUGAGUAUGACCGGCCAACAAGAACAGGAAGAAGCAAAUGACCCUACUGGGUUGAAUCCGUCUGUACACAACCCAAGAUGCACAUUCCUUGCCUCAGCUAAAAAGUGAGGAUGCACACUAUUAAAGCAUUUCCACGCUUCACCGUCAGAAGGAUGCACCAUCACACCAUCAACCAUAUCAUGUGCUUGGUGCCAUGUCAUGUGCUCAACAGUCCUUGGUGACAUGAAUAACCUCUGCAGUCUAGGUGUGAUCGGGAAGUAUAUAAGUUUUUUAUAUGCCACUAGAGUCUUUUCCCUGCUAGUUCUGAGUUUGUAACGGGAAUGCCCGCAUGUCAUGCACUCGGUCAUCUCAGCAUUUUCAAGGUAGUAUAACAUGCAGAAGUUAGGGCACAUGUCAAUUUUCUGGUAUCCUAAACCGAGGGGUUUCAUCAUGGACUUCGCAGUAUAGAAGUUCUCUUUCAGCCUGUUCCCUUUAGGUAAAAUGCUUCUCGCCUAUUCAAUAAUUUUGUCAUACCCGGCCUCACUAAACCCGUGAUCUGACUUUAUGGUGAACACCUGUGCCAUGGUCGAUAAUUUACUGUGGUUUGUGCAGCCAUCCCAUAAUGGUUCAUCAAAAUCUUUCAACAAAUCAAAAAAUCUACCUGCAUUUGUAUUAGGUUCUUUUUCUACGAUUGGACAUUGACUGACAUUACCUUGAUUCAUUCUCAUUGCAUCCAUAACCAUAUAUCUGUAAGGAUUAGUUUUGUCAUUUGCCACUUCAUGCACGUUGCUAGCACUAGAAGUUGACCCAAGCAUCGUUUCUCCCAUUCUCCUAUUACUAACAAAUACAUCUCCAUGUGCAUACCAACACUAGUAAUCCUCCAUAAACCCUUUGUGUAAAAGAUGCAUCAUUACAACAUCUAGAUACAGAUACUUUUUAUUUUGACACUUCCUGCAUGGACACCUAAUACCGCCUCCAAUAAAAUUUCUGGGAAUAGAUGUUGCGAAAUUAAUAAAACCCUGAACCCCGUUACAAUAAUCCAUCCUCCGCAAUCCUUGGGGUGAAUCUAGAUACAUCCAUGAACGAUCAUCUAUGACUUCUAUCGAACCUCUAUAAAAUUAUGAUGACAUCAUGUAUUAAUUAACUAAGUUAGGUAAAUAAACUUGCAAAAAUAUUACUUUACCUCGAGAUUAUCCAACAAACCAAUCACAACUUCUCAUAAAUAUUAAAUAUUCAUUAUCAUUUAUCAACGUCCAUACAAAUUAAUAUAUAUAAACUUAUGGAAAUUACCAAACCACAAUACCAUCGAUAAAACUUAAAAUGGACCCAUUAAGCAAGCUAUUAAUUAUUUCAAAACAGCACAUGUAAUUCGGUAAUUCCAUAAAGUUUUAACAAUUUACAAACAAAUACAAUCUUACAAAAUCUAAAACAAACCAUAACAGGUAUAAAAUUAUACAUUCAUAUACUACAAGUUUGUUUGAGAAAUAACAAUAAAAUAUGUACAUCUACUAACAAAAUACAUAUAAUAAAAAAAACAACAAAAUUGACAUUUAAAUGUUAAAAUUUAAAAAGAUAGAAUUACUUACAAAAAUUGAUAAAAUUCGUUAGCAAAUCAGAACACGGAUGUUGUGACCACAAAACUUCAAGAAAUAUAACUUGUUGUGCUGAGAUGAGGAAGAUUUUUGUUUGGGUGCUGGUUGUUUGCAGAUGGGGAGAGUUGGGAUUAGGAAGAAGAAGGAGAAAUAGGAGAGGAGAGGGUCGGCAGGUAGGGAAUUAUAUUAACUUUUUUCCGACGGUUUCACUGACGGAUUAUUUCGUCGAUGAGUCUGCGGCUUUUCUGACGGAAAAAUCGACACGUCACCUUACGGAUCUGCCAUUUCAAAUUCGUCGGUAUUUUUUACGGUGAACCAGUCACGUCACUGUACGGGCCUGCCAUUUUGAAUCUGUCGGUGAUUCCGUCGGAAAAAACCACCCUGCCAAAACUUCCACGUCAGCGACUGAUACUCUCUGAUAAAAGCAUAAGCCAAACUUGUGUAUAUAUAUUCCUCAUUAAUGUAUUACCUUAUAUGUGUAUAUUGAACGUUAUCUACUCAAUGAGUUGUUGAACUCAUCCUCUUGUUAUUUAUUAUUUUUAGGCUUAUAGCUUCGUUAAUAGGUCGCUUUUGUGGACUUUUAGAACAUGCUCUUUGUUGCAAUUAACAUUAUUUCGUUAUGUCUAGUUAGAGCUCUACAAUUACAUAAUUUGUAUUAACUUUAUUAUAAAGACAUUGAUUUACAUUAUUAUCAUUGUUCCGUUACUCUAAAUGAGUUAAUAGGAAGAGAAGUUUGUAUAUAUGAUUAGGUUUGCAUAGGUAAAGAACCUGGUGGAGGCCUUGUCUAUUUGUCGGUCAUGGAUCCAAGGUUCGGGUCAUGACAAUUAACUUCCUAAAAAAAGCAUGAUUUAUAAUCAAUUAUAUAUAAAAAAAGUGUUCUAUUAUUAAGACUCGUCUAAUUAGUUUUCAUUUACUAGAAAAUGCAAACUUUCUUUCUGCACUUUUUACCAGGUGAGGUGCUUCCGGUCUAAUAACCCGAGUUAUAGGUUUAGAAAGUUAACGCUGGUUAAUAAUUUUUUUCUACUUAUUUUCUUUUCUGAUUUCAUUAUUUGACAUUGAUUUUUUUUUAAUAGGCUUUAUAGUUUUUUUUGUUUUUUUUAAAUAAGAUUAUAUUAUUUUCAUAACCUGAACUAUAAAUUUAAUAUAUUAUCCUGGGUUAACUCAAUCCUUUUCCGACCGCGCGGUAGUGCAGGUGGGCAUUAGUGCAAUAGCUAUUUGAAGGUUUUUUUUUUUUUCCAACGGGUAAAGUUAUGUUAGAGUUAGUUUAUACAUUAACUGACGCUAAAUCUUAUAAAUCUUUUCUCGAGAGAUCUUAAAAACAUAUCCUCUGCAUCAAUCCUAGUAUAUUUAAUAAAUUUCAGUAAAUGUUUGUCUUAAAAUUUGGCGCAGAACAAAUAGUUAGAGUUGCUAUUUGAAGUGGUGAAAUGGUAAUAAUAAUAUGACAGACUUCUACUCUUUCUCCGUUGAUCAAUGAAUUAAUUCAUUCAUAAAAAAAGAUAAAUUCAUGUAGGUGCGAUAGAUCUAUGGGUCAACUUCAGUGAGCUGUUAAGGUUUUACUCCCUACCCUCACUUGUACUGCUGUUCAUACCAUAUAAGGCUAUUUCCACUACUCUACAAGCUUGAUAAUAAUGGAGAUCGCUAUGCGUACAGGCCUGAUUAAUUCAUUUACUAGCAUUACAAUGCUUUUGGUUUGCAUCUUCUUACUCUUUUUAUCAGUAGCCUUUGCUGCACAAGUCAGUAUCACUUCCAAUGAAUCCAUUAAAGAUGGCGGGAGCACUCUAGUUUCAGCAAAUGGAACUUUUGAACUGGGUUUUUUUAGCCCAGGAAAUUCAAUGAAUCGAUUUUUGGGAGUAUGGUACAAGAAUGAAGCUCAUAAAGAAGUUAUUUGGGUUGCCAAUAGAGAAAUUCCGCUUAAGGAUCGUUCUGGAUUUCUAAAUUUCACCCAGCAAGGAGUUUUGCUUCUUCUCAACGGAAACAACAAAAUAAUUUGGUCAUCCAACAAAACAACAAAUGUUGAGAGUCCAGUUGUGCAGCUAUUGGAUACAGGAAAUCUAGUUGUGAAAGAUGGGAAGGAUAAUAACUCCAUUUUAUGGCAGAGUUUUGAAUAUCCUUGUGAUACGUUUCUACCAGGAAUGGUGAUCGGAGGGGAUUCACAAACUGGUGUGGAUAGAAACCUGAGAUCAUGGAAGAGCGCAGACGAUCCUGGUCCAGGCCAAUUUUCAUAUGGGAUAGAUCGUCAGGGGUUUCCACAGCUAGUCAUCAGGAAUGGAACUUCGACGCACUGUAGGCUGGGUUCAUGGAAUGGAAUAAGUUUCAACUGGAUUCCUGAUCUGCCUGAUCUGUACUUGAAGUUUGAUUUUAUUUUGAACAAGACUCAUGUAGAUUAUAGUUAUGAAUUCCGGAGACCGGGUUCAUUGUUGACGAGGUUAAUUGUGAAUCAGUCAGGAUUCGUGGAACGCUUUGCACGUUCAAUUCAAGCUAAUGGUUGGACAAGUUCGUAUAAGGUACCAAGAGAUCUCUGUGACAAAUAUUCAGUAUGUGGUGCACAUAUGAUUUGCAAAAUGGUCGAUCAAUCCCACAAUUGUACUUGCUUGGAAGGAUUUGAACCCAAAUCUCUUACAGAUUGGAGUGAAGGGUGUGCUAGAAGGAGUCCAUUGAAUUGCACACAGGACAUCUUUCACAAUUUUAUAGGGCUUAAGUUGCCGGAUACAUCCCUUUCCUGGUAUGAUACAAGCAUGAGUCUAGUAGAAUGCAAGGACAAGUGUCUAAAAAACUGCAGUUGCACGGCAUAUGCAAAUUCAAAUAUCACAGGAGAAGGCAGUGGCUGCAUACUCUGGUUUGGUGAAUUGGUUGAUAUCAGAGAGUUCAGUCCAGGGGGCCAAGACCUCUACAUAAGGAUGCCACCACCUUUGAAAACAGGUAUUUAUCAAUAUUCUUCCCAUGAUUCUCAAGCAGGGUAUUUUUUUCACUCUUUCUCUCUGUUUCUUUUUUUCUUUUUCUUUUUUUGAAAUGAGGAAGUUGUAUGUUCCUUAAAUGUUUUCCUAACUUCGUGUCCUCAUUUCCUCAUUCUAUUUACAAAUAAAACAGAACUCCUUUCUGUGUUUAUUGUGGGUUUUCAGAUCAGACGACGUCCAACACAAAUUCUGGUAAGAAGAAGCUUUUAGGAAUCAUACUCGGUUCCACACUCCUUGCUGGAGUGCUUACGGUAGGACUAACCUUCUAUAUAUGGAGAAAGAAGCAGAGAAAGCAAGGUAGUGUACUUUGGACAAUUCUUCUUAUUCCAGAACAUGGACCUUGUUGAUAUAUAUAGUAUACAUGGUAGAUUACUAAUAUUGUAGAAUUUUAUGUUAGUCAUCGAUAACAAAAUGAAGCAUUUGUUAGAUCAUGUUGUUAGUCAAAUUAGCUUUGAUAAGGAGAAGCUGUUCGUUUAUCAAUCUUCUGCUAUUCAGAAAUAGAGGAAGACAUGGAGUUACCAUCGUUUCAUUUGGCCACCAUAGUGAAAGCAACGGAUAACUUUUCAAGCAACAACAAGUUGGGACAAGGUGGUUUUGGACCGGUAUAUAAGGUAUAUAACAACGUGCUUCAAAGCUGAGAGAUCAUCUACUAUGAGAUAUUCUAACUUCAGUAAAUAACGAUUCGCAGGGUACAUUGAUUGAUGGGCAAGAAAUAGCAGUGAAAAGACUUUCAAAAAGUUCUCGGCAAGGAUUGACAGAGUUCAAGAAUGAAGUUAUCUUGAUAGCUAAGCUUCAGCACAGAAAUCUUGUUAAACUUCUUGGCUGUUGCAUUCAAGGAGAUGAAGUCAUGUUGAUCUAUGAAUUCAUGCCCAACAAAAGCUUAGAUUAUUUUAUUUUCGGUUUGUACCCCAUGAACUGGUUAGAGUUUCUUGCAGUUAGAUUGCUUGUUCUAUGAUGUUUCAUUUAUACAUCAGAAUAACAUAACAUUAUGAUAAAUUGAUUAGAUCAAACAAGAAACAAAUUCCUGGACUGGCAGAGACGUAACCUCAUUAUCGGUGGCAUUGCUAGAGGACUACUUUAUCUUCAUCAAGACUCUAGACUAAGGAUUAUCCAUAGAGAUCUCAAAGCCAGCAACAUAUUAUUAGAUAAGGAUAUGCACCCCAAAAUUUCAGAUUUCGGAAUGGCUAGACUGUUUGGAGGAGACCAAAUUGAAGCAGACACAAAUAAAGUGGUCGGAACAUAGUAAGUACACUCUACACCUAUUUUGUUACAUUUAAACUUUUUCUGAUAAUGUUUUUCCGCAGUGGAUACAUGCCCCCUGAGUACGUUGUUGAUGGGCGUUUCUCACUGAAAUCCGACGUCUUCAGCUUCGGUGUUUUAGUCUUGGAGAUAAUAAGUGGGAAGAAAAAUAGAGGAUUCUCCCACCCGGAUCACUGCCAUAAUCUUCUUGGACAUGUAAGGAUAAAAUUAAACAUGUUAAUUUAAUUUAAUUAUGUAUUAACAAUUUUUAUCAUAACAAGUUUUUGUUUUCAAGGCAUGGAAACUGUGGACGGAAGAGAGGGCAUUGGAGCUUCUUGACAAUAUGUCAGAUCGCCCGUAUUCUGUAUCUGAAGUAUUGAGAUGCAUUCAUGUGGGUCUGCUAUGCGUGCAACAAAAGCCGGAAGACAGACCAAAUAUGUCAUCUGUGGUUUUGAUGUUGGGCAGUGAGAAUUCAUUGCCUGACCCAAAGCAACCUGGUUUUUUCACGGAAAGGAAUAUGCCCGCAGUGGACUCUUCAUCAGGAAAUCAUGAAUCAUCGUCUAUAAAUGACCUAACUAUUUCAGAGCUAGAUGCACGGUAGAAGAUUGGCUCUGAUGGUUAAAAGGAAGAGCUAUAUAUAUAUAUAUAUAUGUAUGUAUAUUCUAGCCAAAUCCAAGGCAUAUAACAGAAAUUAAAUAUUUUCUGCUAUAAUUAUGUUGAUGUAUUAUUUUUACCUGUCUACAAGUCCUCUGCAAGUACUAGUGCGAAUACAGAUAGACAGAAUGCUUGAGGAUUCACAUCUCUGGACUGCACAAUAUCUGUACUUGUUUGCUUCGAGCCGUCGAAUUUAAUGCACGGAUCUGGGUUCAAGAUCUAUAUAUGCUAGAGCCUCACUGGCUUCUAACCCAAAAAGAAUCCAUUAGAAUUGUCAAUAUAUAAUUAGUAAAAAAAAAUUACAUACAAUUUAAACAAUCCAAAUUUAUAAUUCAAAUUUACAUUAUAUUUUUCAUAACAUGUUAAAAAAAUAUAUUUUUAACAACCAUACAAGGAGCUAUAGUCUUUCCUUGAUUGAUUUCAUAGCACCUUAAACUUAGCCUUGACCUAACCCUUUUAGGGAUAAAUAUUAUAGGUACGAGUACCUUGAUGAUACUUAGCCUUUGUAGGGGAAUCCGACCGGUGAUGUUUUGAUAUUUGCUCAUAGUAGGCUAAGCACACUAACACAAUAUUUAACGUGGUUCAACAAACCGCCUACAUCCACGGGAGAAACCAUUUGAUUAUAUAGGGAGAGAACAAGAUUUACAACAGUAGAGGAGGAGGAAUCAUCCCCUCUUUGGCAACUCUCAACCUCACUCUAUUUGAUGUUGGGCAGUGAGAAUUCAUUGCCUGACCCAAAGCAACCUGGUUUUUUCACGGAAAGGAAUAUGCCCGCAGUGGACUCUUCAUCAGGAAAUCAUGAAUCAUCGUCUAUAAAUGACCUAACUAUUUCAGAGCUAGAUGCACGGUAGAAGAUUGGCUCUGAUGGUUAAAAGGAAGAGCUAUAUAUAUAUAUAUAUGUAUGUAUAUUCUAGCCAAAUCCAAGGCAUAUAACAGAAAUUAUAUAUUUUCUGCUAUAAUUAUGUUGAUGUAUUAUUUUUACCUGUCUACAAGUCCUCUGCAAGUACUGGUGCGAAUACAGAUACACAGAAUAAUGCUUGAGGAUUCACAUCUCUGGACUGCACAAUAUCUGUACUUGUUUGCUUCGAGCCAACGAAUUUAAUGCACGGAUCUGGGUUCAAGAUCUAUAUAUGCUAGAGGCUCACUGGCUUCUAACCAAAAAGAAUCCAUUAGAACUUUGGAUAGAUUUAUGUAUUUCCUACAAUUCAGUAAUUGUUUUAUAUUGAAAAAUUUUAUUCUGAGUCUAUUUAUUUUUUUAUGUUAUUAAUUUAUUGAUUUAUAUUAUCUUUUUCUCUUACAUUUUAUUUAAAUCACUCAUUAAUUAUAAUGUUGUUGACUUUCUUCGUUAGAUUUUAAUGUAAUUUAAUUUUUUGGCUAGAAUUGUGAAUAUAUAAUUAGUAAAAAAAAAUUACAUACAAUUUAAACAAUCCAAAUUUAUAAUUCAAAUUUACAUUAUAUUUUUCAUGACAUAUUAAAAAAAUAUAUUUUUAACAACCAUACAAGAAACUAUAGUCUUUCUUGAUGGAUUUCAUAGCACCUUAAACUUAGCCUUGACCUAACCCUUUUAGGGAUAAAUAUUAUAGGUACGAGUACCUUGUUGAUACUUAGCCUUGACCUAACAAAUUUUCAUAUCAUAAUUUCAAAAAUUUGAAAAUAGAAAUAAAAUGCAAAAACUAAAAUACAAAAUCAAAAAUAAAAUGAUAUCAAAAAACCCUUCUAACUUUUCUUUUUUAUGUAAGGGUUGAAUUAUAUUAACUCAAUUAACCCAUCUUUCUAAAUUAAGUUAUAUAUUUUUUAAUAAUUUAUGUAUUUUAUCUCAAAUAGAUAAAACAUUAAAAAUAGAAGAGUUAUUAUGGAUCCCACAAAAUAAUAGUUGUAAAGCAUAUAUAGCUUGAUAUUAUGACAAAAAGAUGUCAUAUUGACGUUUUAAUUAACUUAUUAUGUUAUAAUGGAGGAACCUUUACAAAAUAAAAUAAAGACAAGAGGGAUUUAAUCAAUAUUAAAAUAUAAAAAGAGUAGUUGCUAUAAAAAUAAAUAAAUUGAAGAGUACAAAGAUGAAAUAUGAGUGGAACAUGCUAUGUAAUAUGAAUUUUAUGGUUUCGUCCAAACUGGCCACAACAAUCAUAUGGUUUCGUUCAAAGUUCAAACUCGUGUAUGGAUGGGCUUCAAAUGAAAGCCUCUAAUGGAUUUUGGAAAAAGAAUAAUUUAUACUAGGAAAGAGGCCAAGAAAUCAAGGAUGGCAAAACGAGAGAGAAGAAAUCUAUGACAUAGUAUACAACUUGGAGAAAUAUUAUCAAAAUUAAAGGUUCAAGAUGUUGAUAGAAUCGGUAUUUAUUAUAGACGUGAAAAAAUACGAUUAAUGUUUGUUUUUAGUUUAAUUUAGUCCUUGCUUUGUUUUAUUUUGCAUGUUUUAGGGCUUUAGUUGUAUUUGUAUGCUUUUUUUUGGUCAUUAAUGGACUGCUAAAAAAAAAAUAUUGUAAUUGGAAAAACAUCUAUCUGUAGAUGCAAAACGAUAGAAAUAUCUAUGAUAGUUUGCCAUCUUGAAAAAUGGCAAGUAAUGUGAUCAAUAUGCUACGGCAAUUAUGUAAAGCAAAGAGAAAGAAAUUACACUUAAUUUGUUUAUUGUAAAAAAAAAAAAAAAAAAAAACCUUUGAAUGACAUUACGAUUAAAAUUACACUUUAAAUUUUUAAAAAGUCUUUUAUGAAAAAACUUAUAUAUAUAAAAAAAACACCCUUCACUAAAUUUGUCCAAGGCGGGUUAAGGGUAAGCUUCCACCAACCCUUGCUAGCAUUUAAUAAUUGCAAGAAAAUGUUCCCUCUUGAUCCAAAAGGGUAGUAGUUGUUGACUUUGCUGUCCCGCUGGGGACCUAACAUUGUACUGAGAAUUUAUUAGGAUCCGAUAUUUCCAAAGCUCGAAGGUCAUGGGAAGCUGAAACAUUGAUGAUAUGAUCCCACGUAUCAUUAUGAUGAUGAACAAGAACUUCCAAUAGCAGACCACUGUUUUGAGCUGCAUGGGAUCAAUCCAAUCAAGCUAGGUGUAAUAUCAUGGUGCCAUUUUGAUUGUAAAUUCUGUUCUAGCCGGAAAAGUGGGUAUGUCCUGUACUAUUUUAAAAAACAAAAUAAGGUGAAGUGAAUUUUAUCCCUAAGAGGAGGAUCUCGAAUCAUUUUGAAUUUCUUGUUCAAAUUUCAAUUAAGAUAUCCUAGGUUUACCCGUUUUCAAAUAAUAUUUUAGCGAUUCAAAAUAAGGUUGUCGAAAGUUACUCAUGCGUAAUUUGGAGACCUUAUGAUCAUAUUUCCAGCAAUUUAUAGAAACUAGCUCCAAGUUCUCAUCCGUUUUCAUAUUGACAAAGAGAAUGGCCGCACAAGUGCUAAGGGCUCAAGGUUAUCUCUUGUCCUUGUUUGAUUCCAGACGGGGUUUACGCACCUAUUUCUGAACAUACUCUUCCUGACCUUCCAAUGGUGAACAAGUCAAAUCUUACAAUAUAUGUUAAAUAUAUUGUGCUAUAGAAAGAUUUUUUUUCCUCUCUGAAAUGAUGGAGAGAGGGAUGUUAAGGCUAGGGUUGACGCAAUGAACGGUGAGGAUUAGAUAAGGAGAAUGUGGAUGACUUGUGUUCUUUAGUCAAUGGAGGGUUGACAUGUGCAACGAAGGGUAUUAAACGGCGGCACUUAGGCUAGUAGAGAAGAAGACUUGGUCCAAGAUCAUGCUAGAUCUUUACAACUUCUCAGAAUCAGUCCAUUCCAAAUUCAAGUUUGAUGUUUGUUUUAUUUAUAGGACCAGGAAUAAAUCAUGAUAUUCUUAAAGCAUAACCAAAUAUAUAUAUAUAUAUAUAUAUAUAUAAGUAGGUUUAGAUUUAAAAUUUAUUGAAUUUAAAUGAUAAGUAACAUUUUGUAGUUUUACUCCUUUUAUUCUUGCUAUAGCCACCAAAAAAUUGAAACAUAAUGACAAAAUAUUCUAUUAUCGACUAAACACCAUUCCAUUAGUCAUUUAUAUUGCCAACAGAGUUACCAACAAAAAUAUAUUGCCAAUCAAAAUUUUGUUGCAUAUUUGUUAUUUGUCAACGCUACAAAUUAUAGACAAAAAUACCAAUGAAAUAUUGGCUCAAAAUAAAAUAAAAUGCACUGACUAGAUUUUAUCGAUCAUUCUAUCAGUAAAUCAAUUACCAAUGAAAUAUUCAGUUGCAAAUUCCAUCGGUGAAAUAUAACUAUUGCUAACAAAUUAAGCGACAAUAUUGGCAAAACAAUAUUCAUCAUUACACUCUAUCGGAGAUUCUAAAACUUCUUAAUCAUUCUGUAACUUUAUGAUGAAAUAGGGUUUUUAUUGUAGAUGGAAUCACUGAUGAUAUUUUUUUGUCUGUAAGUGAAUCCAUCAGAAAAUUACAAUUUGUUUUUAUAUAAGUAACAUUUUGUAGUUUUAUUCCUUUUAUUCUUGCUAUAGCCACCAAAAAAUUGAAACAUAAUGACAAAAUAUUCUAUUAUCGACUAAACACCAUUCCAUUAGUCAUUUAUAUUGCCAACAGAGUUACCAACAAAAACAUGUUGCCAAUCAAAAUUUUGUUGCCUAUUUGUUAUUUGUCGACGCUACAAAUUAUAGACAAAAAUACCAAUGAAAUAUUGGCUCAAAAUAAAAUAAAAUGCACUGACUAGAUUUUAUCGAUCAUUCUAUCAGUAAAUCAAUUACCAAUGAAAUAUUCAGUUGCAAAUUCCAUCGGUGAAAUAUAACUAUUGCUAACAAAUUAAGCGACAAUAUUGGCAAAAAAAUAUUCAUCAUUACACUCUAUCGGAGAUUCUAAAACUUCUUAAUCAUUCUGUAACUUUAUGAUGAAAUAGGGUUUUUAUUGUAGAUGGAAUCACUGAUGAUAUUUUUUUGUCUGUAAGUGAAUCCAUCAGAAAAUUACAAUUUGUUUUUAUAUAAGUAACAUUUUGUAGUUUUAUUCCUUUUAUUCUUGCUAUAGCAACCAAAAAAUUGAAACAUAAUGACAAAAUAUUCUAUUAUCGACUAAACACCAUUCCAUUAGUCAUUUAUAUUGCCAACAGAGUUACCAACAAAAACAUGUUGCCAAUCAAAAUUUUGUUGCAUAUUUGUUAUUUGUCGACGCUACAAAUGAUAGACAAAAAUACCAAUGAAAUAUUGGCUCAAAAUAAAAUAAAAUGCACUGACUAGAUUUUUUCGAUCAUUCUAUCAGUAAAUCAAUUACCAAUGAAAUAUUCAGUUGCAAAUUCCAUCGGUGAAAUAUAACUAUUGCUAACAAAUUAAGCGACAAUAUUGGAAAACAAAUAUUCAUCAUUACACUCUAUCGGAGAUUCUAAAACUUCUUAAUCAUUCUGUAACUUUAUGAUGAAAUAGGGUUUUUAUUGUAGAUGGAAUCACUGAUGAUAUUUUUUGUCUGUAAGUGAAUCCAUCAGAAAAUUACAAUUUGUUUUUAUAUAAGUAACAUUUUGUAGUUUUAUUCCUUUUAUUCUUGCUAUAGCCACCAAAAAAUUGAAACAUAAUGACAAAAUAUUCUAUUAUCGACUAAACACCAUUUCAUUAGUUAUUUAUAUUGCCAACAGAGUUACCAACAAAAACAUGUUGCCAAUCAAAAAUUUGUUGCAUAUUUGUUAUUUGUCGACGCUACAAAUUAUAGACAAAAAUACCAAAGAAAUAUUGUCUCAAAAUAAAAUAAAAUGCAGUGACUAGAUUUUGUCGAUCAUUCUAUCAGUAAAUCAAUUAUCAAUGAAAUAUUCAGUUGCAAAUUCCAUCGGUGAAAUAUAACUAUUGCUAACAAAUUAAGCGACAAUAUUGGCAAAAAAAAUAUUCAUCAUUACACUCUAUCGGAGAUUCUAAAAUUUCUUAAUCAUUCUGUAACUUUAUGAUGAAAUAGGGUUUUUAUUGUAGAUGGAAUCACUGAUGAUAUUUUUUGUCUGUAAGUGAAUCCAUCAGAAAAUUACAAAUUUUUUUUAUAUAAUUGUUAAAUUAAAAACCAAUAAAAAUCACAAAUAAAACCAAAUAUUAUUAAUUUUAUUGAACAUCAAAAUUUUAUUAAUUUUAAUUUUACAACAAUAUAUACACCGCUACACAGAUGGAGGUGGAGGGAAAUAAAAUCAUGAGCCAAAAGAACUAGAAUGAGGAGCAUGAUAAUGUUAGAAUCUCUUAAAGAAGAGACUCCAAUUCUACAGCCUAAAGUGGAUGAGCGCCUCGAUUGAUAUUAUGUGAAUUAGGUGUCUCUUCAUCAUCGACACCUAAAUUAAUAACAUGAUUAUGGACAUCACCAACACUAUUAUUGGUUGAAUCAACAACAACAAUAGAUCUCUUUAAACUUUUUCUUAGUAUCUCUAAAUAUUAUAUGAGUUAAUUUUCAAUUUCAAUGUAAUAAAUCUACAUUCUAUGUUGAAUAAUGGAGUACACAUCCCAAAAUAAUCUACAUUUAAAAAACGCACUUUCUAAGUCUAACAAGCUAUUCCAAUUAUUCAAUACUUUAUACCACUACUACUACUAUCAUCAUCAUCAUCAUCAUCAUUAUCAUCUAGGGCUUAAACAUUUAAUAUAACAAUUAUGCUUAGGUUUAUAACAACAACAGUAAUAAAACGAAUUAUAUUAAUUGUAAAAAAAAAUACAUAAAAAAAUCAAAAUAAAUAUUAAAAUUAUAGAAUCACGAUUAAAUUUUAUUAUAAUGCACAACACAAUUGCCAACAACAAUAAUAAUUACUCAAAUUUUAGUAUGUUUAUUGUAGGAAAAAUGCACACACAAUAAUAACAAUAAUAAUUACAAAAAAUUUAAUGCACAACAUAAAAUUAAAAGCAUACACAUGCAAUAAUAAUAUUCUCUUGGCAACUACAAACACUUUAGAGACUGAGAGACUUACCUUAAAGAGAUUGAGGAUGGGCGAUGACGAGAGAGAGAGAGAGAACGGGGGUGGGCGAUGAUGACUUUUUUAGUGAUGAGUGCAUUAAGGAUGGAGAGAGAGAGAGAGAGAAGGUGGUAGAGAGGGUGCGACAACUUUUGGAUAAUUAUAGCAACAAAGAUGAAAAUGGGAGAAAUAACGAUCAAAUUAUAACCUAAAAUCAUCAAUGAAAUUUUCAUUGUCGAUUCCGUCAACAUGUUAACAUAUGUCGACAUAAUCACUAAUGGAUAUUUAAUUAUUAUUUUUUAAUAUUUUUCAAUUACGUUGGCAAUUUUGUCGCCAUUUCUAAAACCUAUAAGACAUUUUUGACAAAAUCACAUUUAUUAGUGAUUCCAUCACCAUUUCUUAAACCUCCUAGGAUUUUUCAAUAAAACUGCACAUCCAUUGCUAAAACCUUUUGGAAUGUUUGAUGAAAUUGCAUGUCUAUUGGUGAUUUCUUCACCGUGGACAAUUCCAUCGACAAUUCCAUCACUAUUUGUUUUUUAAAAAAAUUUAUUGUUAUAAUAUCUUAGCCAACCUAAAUACACAAUAACAACAAUACCAAGCAUUUUAAAGCCAACAAUUGCCAACAUUAAACCCAAAACCACAACAAAUAUAAAAAAUACAAUGCAUUAUAGAGUUGCAACAAAUUUAUAUGAUGAUUGUAUUACAUCUAAAUCAAUGUAAUAUCGUUUAAUUAGAAUCCUCCUUUUCAUUUUUAUCAUCUUCUUUGUUGAAUCCAAAGCUUGUUGAUCUCAUCAUUUUCCUCUACUUCAUUAUGUCUACUAAUACUCAAAAUAUCAUUUCAAUCGUCAACAUCAAUAUAAGUAUUCUCAACAACAUGAAAAUUUAUAUUUUCUAACUUGGUAGAAGAAGCAACUCGAUAUAAAUUAAUUAUAUCAUCUAUUUGACAUACAUCAUCUCACUUAGAUACUUCAUUGUUAUCAUCUUCAAUUACUUUAUCUUUAGCACAACUGCUAAGUUUAGUUUUCACAAUGAAAAACCAAUCAACUCUAUUAUGAUCAUUUUCAAAUAAAGGAGUGUAUGUAUAAUACACUUGUUCCCAUUGUUUAGAAAAAAAAAUAAAAACAUCAUUGAUGUUGCAUAAUUGUUCUCUUUUAUUUACUUUGACCAUACCAUGUCGAGGAUCUACGCUAAUUCCUCUAUCGAUACCAUACAACUAGCAUUUUUAAAUAAAGCUAUUAUAUAUUGUUCACUAUGAUAUCACAAUUCAAUAACCUUUUAUAACAUGCCAUAAUAACUGACUUCAAUUUUAUUGGAAGUUGAACCCUUGACACAAACCCCAAUAUUUGACUAUCUCCAAUGAGAGAUGCUAUUUAGAAGAGCCAAAUUGGUAAUAUGACUUUUUAAAUAGUGUAAAUAUAGUUUUUUCUUUUCUUUUUUUGCGUAUGUGCACUCCAAUUGUAAAAAAACCAUUUAGAAGAGAAAAUUGUAUUUUAAUAUAUUUGAUACACAACUAUUUUAACAACAUAAUAUGAUUCAGUUGACUUGACAAGUCUAAAAAUAACCCGAACAAUUCUCAAUCAACUCAAUAUUAAAGAAUGAAAUUGAAAAGAAAAGAAAAAACAAAAAAUAACUAGAGUAAAUCUAGGUAAACUCGUAAAAAUCAUGAUACGGAUCAUGAGAUCAUGAUAAUCUCAUAAAAAACAAAGUAAAAAAAAUAGAUGUAAAAAAAAAUCAAAGAAAAAAAACUAGUACAAAACAAAUAUUAUUACAAUGAAUAGUGAUCUAGCAUUUUUGCAAGAUAUGUAGGAAUAAUAGUUUUUUUAGAGAAAUGCUAUAAAAAAAAAUUAGCACUCUCUUUAGAGCAUGUAAAAUAAACAUUAAAAAGCAUAUAUAUAUAUAUAUAUAUAUAUUAUGUCCUUCCUUUUAACAUCUCUAUUGGAGAUGCUCUUAUAUGUUUUUUGACCCUCACCUUACUCUAGUAUGAAAGAUAUAUUCAUUGAUGAAUUAUCCAUUAUAACACUAACCUUUCUUUGAGGACCUAGAGAAAGGAAUUUCAGUUGACCAGCAUUGUAUCUGAUUUGAAAGCCUAGUUAACGUUAAUUAAUGACCAUUAAUGGUUAGAGUCAUAACAUAAAUAAAUCUUUUCUUAUGAGUUAUGAAUUAUUAAAUACUUACAUGUAUUUUAAACCACAUGAAUAAAUUUUCAUCAUGUAAUUGGAAAGUUCGAGCUUCAAUUUCCAUGGCCUAACCUCUUAGUCAUAAAAAUAACCUUAACAUCUUCACAUUUUUACUAAACAAAAGGAAAACUUAUAGUUGUUGAAGUGUUAAAUUUGUUUUUUUCCAACAGACACCAAUUAUAGAAAUUGCAAUAAAAUAUCACUCUUGAUCACAAUGAUCAAGAUAUCAAAUGUAUUUAAUUGUUUCUUCCCUCAUUCAUACAACAUAAUCCUAAGAGAAUUCCAAGGGUUAGAUUUCAGGUAUAAAGGAAUGAGGGGCAUUGAUGUAAUUGCAUAACCAAUUGACAAGUAUAAAUAUUGUAAUUAUUGUAAGAUUUAUGUUUUAAUGUGUAAUUAUUGUAAUUAGCUUUGAUUUUGGUUUUGUUAAGGUUUAGGGUUUUGAAUUUUAUGUUUUAGGGUUAGAUUUAUGCAUUAAUUGAAGUGUUAUAGGUUAAGUUUUAUGUGUUAAACUGUUAUGGGUUGAAUAUGUUGGGUUUUAAGUUAGAAUUUAAAAUGUGUCAAUAUUAGGAGACUAGUGGAUUAGGAAUUUAAAAUCCUGAUCAACUGGUUGACCAGUAGGCUUAUUAACUUUAAUCGAUUGGUUGGUGAAUUUCGUUUGAUUUGCCUGACUAGGUUCGGUCAACUUAUUGGUAGAUUUUGGUCGACCAGUUGAUCAAACACUGAGGGUUGAUCGGUUCUUUUUGGCUCAAAAGUUUAGUAAAUGUUUGAGAUUGGUCAGGUAUAUCUGUUUCGCUUUUAUAUUUAUGUUUGUUCUCAAAUCUUAUAGAUGUAAUCUCUUAUGUUUUUUGUUUUGAGUCAUUUUUUAGUACAUUUGCUUUUAUAUUUAGAUACUCUUAAUACUCUACCUAUUGGGUAUCAAUAGGACUUCCAUCGAUAUCUGUUUUUGAAUCCUAACUACUUUUGAGUCAAGUGAGUGGAUAAUAUUCCAUAUGCUAAAAGAGUAGUAUAAAUAUUUUAAUUAUUAAUAUAAAAUUGAUCAUGCUUCUUGGUAAUUUAUAUAUUGCUUAUUAUCACUUGUCUAUGAUAAAACAUGAUCAAUGAUGGUUCAUUAAUGUCCAUUGAUUUAGACUCCUUCCCCCUUCCCAACUACGAAUAAGAUCGAGAGGAGCCCGAAAGAAAGCCCCCCAACCAAGAACGGAAACGGAAGCCUUUCUAUUCAUUCCCCAUUCUCUCUUAAAUAAAGCUCGCCCUCGAGCUUCAAUUUUAAUAUAAAUAAAGGGCAGGUCGGCCGGGUCUUUCCCUGUUGUUCUGUUUCCGCCACGAGAAAGACGCACGGAAGAGGUAUGCCCAAACAAAAUGAGAAAAAAAAGGAGAGGCCUUCGCAUUCCUAAUCCGGUAGGGCCGGCCGGCUUUGUUUGCCCCGGCUUGGCGAAUCGCAUCCCCGCGCAACGACAUUCUUUGUGCGCCCCGUCACCGUUCUCGCUCAGUGUUUGCAACGGCUGGGGAGGCAGUCGUAGAAGCGAAGCCUAUCGCCGAGCCGACCAAAAAAUACGAAAUUGGGCCCCUUCUAUGAAAUUGGAUGGAAUGGUCCAGCCUUUUCAGACUAAUUUCUUGAUAUGAGCAAUUGUGUUCUUCUGAAUUGACAACUUCUCAUUUGAUUGAUUGUAUGGGUUGAGCUUUUAAGAAAUGAUUAUGUUUUAUUUAAUUAUGACCCUAUGACAUACUAGUCAGAAUACUCAUGCUAACACGGUAGUGUUACUCUUUGUGCACAUCAUAGUUCUGAACCUUAGUUAGUCAAUAGAGUCACCAAAUUAUGGCGACCAAUUGUCUUAUAUUUUGGAGCUUCAUGCUCCUUACAUUUUGAUUUUCUAACAAACCAUAUGAUAUUUCUUUUUAUGAUCUCUUUGUAAAACUCUUUGAUAAAAGCAUAAGCCAAGCUUGUGUAUAGAUAUUUCUCAUUAAUGUCUUACCUUAUAUGUGUAUAUUAAACGUUAUCUACUCAAUGAGUUGUUUAACUCAUCCUCUUGUUAUUUAUUAUUUUUAGGCUUAUAGCUUUGUUAAUAGGUCGCUUUUGUGGACUUUUAGAACCUGCUCUUUGUUGCAAUUAACAUUAUUUCGUUAUGUCUAGUUAGAGCUCUACAAUUACAUAAUUUGCAUUAACUUUUGUAUAAAGAUGUUGAUUUAUAUUGUUAUCAUUGUUUCGUUACUCUAAUUGAGUUAAUAUAAAGAGAAGUUUGUAUGUAUGCUUAGAUUUGCAUACGUAAAGAACCUGGUGGGGGCCUUGUUUAUGUAUCGGUCAUGAAUCCAAGGUUUGGAUCAUGAUAAUUGGCUUCCUAAAAAAAGCAUGAUUUAUAAUCAAUUAUAUAAAAAAGAGUGUUCUAUUAUUAAGACUCGUCUAAUUAGUUUUCAUUUACUAGAAAUGUACUUUUUAUCACGUAAGGUGCUUUCGGUCUAAUAAUCCAAGUUACAGGUUUAAAAAAUUAAUGUUUGUUAAUAAUUUUUUUGUCUACUUAUAUUCUUUUUUUAUUUUAUUAUUUGACAUUGAUUUUUUUUUAAAUAGGCUUUAUAAUUUUCUUUGUUUUUUUUUUUUCUAUUAGAUUAUUUUAUUUUCAUGAAUUAUAAAUUUAAUAUAUUAUCCUGGGUGAACUCAAUCCUUUUCCGACCCCCGGCAGUGCAGGUCGACAUUAGAGCAACAACUAUUUGAAGGAUUUUUUUUUUUUUUUUAUCCAACUGGUAAAGUUAUGUUAGAGUUAGUUUAUACAUUAACUGACGCUAAAUCUUAUAAAUCUUUUCUCGAGAAAUCUUAAGAACAUAUCAUCUGUAUCCAUCCUAGUAUAUUUAAUAAAUUUCAGUAAAUGUUUGUCUUAAAAUUUGGAGCAGAACAAAUAGGUUGAGUUGCUAUAUGAAGUAGUGAAAUAGUAAUAAUAAUAUGACAGACUUCUACUCUUUCUCCAUUGAUCAAUGAAUUAAUUCAUUCAUAAAAAAAGAUAAAUUCAUGUAGGUGCGAUAGAUCUAUGGGUCAACUUCAGUGAGUUGUUAAGCUUUUACUCCCUACCCCCACUUGUACUGCUGUUCAUGCCAUAUAAGGCUAUUUCCACUACUCUACAAGCUUGAUAAUAAUGGAGAUCACAAUGCGUCCAGGCCUGAUUAAUUCAUUUACUAGCAUUACAAUGCUUUUGGUUUGCAUCUUCUUAGUCUUUUUAUCACUAGCCUUUGCUGCACAAGACAAUAUCAUUUCCAAUGAAUCCAUUAAAGAAGGCGAGAGUCUAGUUUCAGCAAAAAGAACUUUUGAACUGGGUUUUUUUAGCCCAGGAAAUUCAAUGAAUCGAUUUUUGGGAGUAUGGUUCAUGAAUGAAUUGUCAGCUCAUAAAGAAGUUAUUUGGGUUGCCAAUAGAGAAAUUCCGCUUACGGAUCGUUCUGGAUUUCUAAAUUUCACCCAGCAAGGAGUUUUGCUUCUUCUCAACGGAAACAAUGAAAUAAUUUGGUCAUCCAACAAAACAACAAAUGUUGAGAGUCCAGUUAUGCAGCUAUUGGAUUCAGGAAAUCUAGUUGUAGGAGAUGGGAAGGAUAGUAACUUCAUUUUAUGGCAGAGUUUUGAAUAUCCUUGUGAUACGUUUCUACCAGGAAUGAUGAUCGGAGGGAAUUCACAAACUGGUGUGGAUAGAAACCUGACAUCAUGGAAGAGCGCAGACGAUCCUGGUCCAGGCCAAUUUUCAUUUGGGAUAGAUCGUCAGGGGUUUCCACAGCUAGUCGUCAGGAAUGGAACUUUGAAGCACUAUAGGCUGGGUUCAUGGAAUGGAAAAAGUUUCACCGGGACUCCUGAUCUGCCUCGAGAUCAGUUCUUGAAGUAUGAUUUUAUUUUGAACAAGACUCAUGUAGAUUAUAGUUAUGAAAUCCUGAAACCGGGUGCAUUGUUGACGAGGUUAAUUGUGAAUCAGUCAGGAUUCGUGGAACGCUUUAUCCGUGCAAUUCAAACUAAUGGUUGGACACCAAUAUAUUCGGCACCAAGAGAUCUCUGUGACAAAUAUUCAGUAUGUGGUGCACAUAUGAUUUGCAAAAUGGUCGAUCAAUCCCACAAUUGUACUUGCUUGGAAGGAUUUGAACCCAAAUCUCUUACAGAUUGGAGUGAAGGGUGUGCUAGAAGGAGUCCAUUGAAUUGCACACAGGACAUCUUUCAGAUUUUUACAGGGCUUAAGUUGCCGGAUACAUCCCUUUCCUGGUAUGAUACAAGCAUGAGUCUAGUAGAAUGCAAGGACAAGUGUCUAAAAAACUGCAGUUGCACGGCAUAUGCAAAUUCAAAUAUCACAGGAGAAGGCAGUGGCUGCAUACUCUGGUUUGGUGAAUUGGUUGAUAUCAGAGAGUUCAGUCCAGGGGGCCAAGACCUCUACAUAAGGAUGCCACCACCUUUGAAAACAGGUAUUUAUCAAUAUUCUUCCCAUGAUUCUCAAGCAGGGUAUUUUUUUCACUCUUUCUCUCUGUUUCUUUUUCUUUUUCCUUUUGAAAUGAAGAAGUUGUAUGUUCCUUAAAUGUUUUCCUAACUUCGUGUCCUCAUUUCCUCAUUCUAUUUACAAAUAAAACAGAACUCCUUUCUCUGUUUAUUGUGGGUUUUCAGAUCAGACGACGUCAAACACAAAUUCUGGUAGGAAGAAGCUUUUAGGAAUCAUACUCGGUUCCACAGUCCUUGCUGGAGUGCUAACGGUAGGACUAACCUUCUAUAUAUGGAGAAAGAAGCAGAGAAAGCAAGGUAGUGUACUUUGGACAAUUCUUCUUAUUCCAGAACAUGGACCUUGUUGAUAUAUAUAGUAUGCAUGGUAGAUUACUACUAUUGUAGAAUUUUAUGUUAGUCAUCGAUAACAAAAUGAAGCAUUUGUUAGAUCAUGUUGUUAGUCAAUUAGCUUUGAUAAGGAGAAGCUGUUCGUUUAUCAUUGCUGACAACUGAUCAAUCUUCUGCUAUUCAGAAAUAGAGGAAGACAUGGAGUUACCAUCGUUUCAUUUGGCCACCAUAGUGAAAGCAACGGAUAACUUUUCAAGCAACAACAAGUUGGGACAAGGUGGUUUUGGACCGGUAUAUAAGGUAUAUAACAACGUGCUUCAAAGCUGAGAGAUCAUCUACUAUGAGAUAUUCUAACUUCAGUAAAUAACGAUUCCCAGGGUACAUUGAUUGAUGGGCAAGAAAUAGCAGUGAAAAGACUUUCAAAAAGUUCUCGGCAAGGAUUGACAGAGUUCAAGAAUGAAGUUAUCUUGAUAGCUAAGCUUCAGCACAGAAAUCUUGUUAAACUUCUUGGCUGUUGCAUUCAAGGAGAUGAAGUAAUGUUGAUCUAUGAAUUCAUGCCCAACAAAAGCCUAGAUUAUUUUAUUUUCGGUUUGUACCCCAUGAACUGGUUAGAGUUUCUUGCAGUUAGAUUGCUUGUUCUAUGAUGUUUCAUUUAUACAUCAGAAUAACAUAACAUUAUGAUAAAUUGAUUAGAUCAAACAAGAAACAAAUUCCUGGACUGGCAGAGACGUAACCUCAUUAUCGGUGGCAUUGCUAGAGGACUACUUUAUCUUCAUCAAGACUCUAGACUAAGGAUUAUCCAUAGAGAUCUCAAAGCCAGCAACAUAUUAUUAGAUAAGGAUAUGAACCCCAAAAUUUCAGAUUUUGGAAUGGCUAGACUGUUUGGAGGAGACCAAAUUGAAGCAGACACAAAUAAAGUGGUCGGAACAUAGUAAGUACACUCUACACCUAUUUUGUUACAAUGUAUAAUGUCCGCACCAUUUAAACUUUUUCUGAUAAUGUUUUUCCGCAGUGGAUACAUGCCCCCUGAGUACGUUGUUGAUGGGCGUUUCUCACUGAAAUCCGACGUCUUCAGCUUCGGUGUUUUAGUCUUGGAGAUAAUAAGUGGGAAGAAAAAUAGAGGAUUCUCCCACCCGGAUCACUGCCAUAAUCU
rnacentral:lncRNA from 1 species